GUGCUUUCUUACUAUUGUACUGUAAAAGAAAAUCCUAGAAUAAGAUUCUUCCUGCCCCCAUUGCUUUUCUGGAACUUUCAAAGUUGGGGCACAGGAGGAUGCAGUAGAAGAAAGAUGAAAAAAUUCUAUUUCUGGAGCCACUGGCAUUAUUUUUUGACUAACAACAUCUGUUUUUCAUGUCCUCUGCUACUGCAGACAUCCAGAAGCUGCCUGCAACAUGAGAUGGCUACAGUCAAUUGAUGCCUCCCAAAAUUCUGCAUGUGGGAAGCAGGCACCGGUGUCUGUAUUCUUGGAUGUGCCUGCUGUGGCCACACUGAAGAAACAAAUAGACCCACACCCAUAAUUUAGAUUGGAUGUGAAGAAUGAUGAAGACACACACACACCAAGAAGGUAUGAAAACAUUUAUUAUUUACAUAGUAAGGCUUUUUGAGAAGAGCAGAACAUGCUUCCCAUACUGGACAGGUUCUACUAUCUUUUCAGUAAGUCCUACUAAAUGGACUUUAAUGGAUGUGAAUAAAAGCUGCUUUACAGAAUGUGAGGGUAAUUAUCACUCAUAGUCUUCAGUUUUGGAGCUUUCCUCAAAAUUCUGAUACAACAGGAA